GCUACUACCGAUUGAAUGGUUUAGUGAGGACUCCUGAUUGGCGCCGCCGCCCCGGCAACGGAGCAGCGGACUGCCGAAAAGUUGUUCAAACUUGAUCAUUUAGAGGAAGUAAAAGUCGUAACAAGGUUUCUGUAGGUGAACCUGCAGAAGGUUCACCGGAUAAUUCGAAAUCGGUAGGAGCGACGGGCGGUGUGUACUUCGCGGA
rnacentral:misc_RNA from 1 species